rnacentral:rRNA from 1 species
UGUUAAUAAUUUAUAUAAAAUAUUUUGAUGAAUAUUUAUAUAGUAUUAACAUAAUUCAUAUUACUAUAUAUUUUAGUAUAUGAAAUUUUACUUUGAGAAAAUUAGAGUGCUUAAAGCAGGCAUAUGCCUUGAAUACUCCAGCAUGGAAUAAUAUUAAAGAUUUUUAUCUUUCUUAUUGGUUCUAAGAUAAGAAUAAUGAUUAAUAGGGACAGUUGGGGGCAUUUGUAUUUAACAGUCGGAGGUGAAAUUCUUAGAUUUGUUAAAGACAAACUAAUGCGAAAGCAUUUGCCAAGGAUGUUUUCAUUAAUCAAGAACGAAAGUUAGGGGAUCGAAGACGAUCAGAUACCGUCGUAGUCUUAACCAUAAACUAUGCCAACUAGAGAUUGGAGGUUGUU